rnacentral:rRNA from 1 species
UGGGCGUAGAGGGCUCGCAGGCGGUUUCUUAAGUCUGAUGUGAAAGCCCCCGGCUCAACCGGGGAGGGUCAUUGGAAACUGGGAAACUUGAGUGCAGAAGAGGAGAGUGGAAUUCCACGUGUAGCGGUGAAAUGCGUAGAGAUGUGGAGGAACACCAGUGGCGAAGGCGACUCUCUGGUCUGUAACUGACGCUGAGGAGCGAAAGCGUGGGGAGCGAACAGGAUUAGAUACCCUGGUAGUCCACGCCGUAAACGAUGAGUGCUAAGUGUUAGGGGGUUUCCGCCCCUUAGUGCUGCAGCUAACGCAUUAAGCACUCCGCCUGGGGAGUACGGUCGCAAGACUGAAACUCAAAGGAAUUGACGGGGGCCCGCACAAGCGGUGGAGCAUGUGGUUUAAUUCGAAGCAACGCGAAGAACCUUACCAGGUCUUGACAUCCUCUGACGACCCUAGAGAUAGGGCUUUCCCUUCGGGGACAGAGUGACAGGUGGUGCAUGGUUGUCGUCAGCUCGUGUCGUGAGAUGUUGGGUUAAGUCCCGCAACGAGCGCAACCCUUGAUCUUAGUUGCCAGCAUUCAGUUGGGCACUCUAAGGUGACUGCCGGUGACAAACCC